rnacentral:ncRNA from 1 species
GAGCAUUGAGAGGACCUUUCCCUAGUACGAGAGGACGAGAAGGACGCACCUCUGGUGUACCAGUUAUCGUGCCCACGGUAAACGCUGGGUAGCCAAGUGCGGAGCGGAUAACUGCUGAAAGCAUCUAAGUAGUAAGCCCACCUCAUAAAAGCAGUCUUC